rnacentral:rRNA from 1 species
UACGGAGGAUGCAAGCGUUAUCCGGAUUCAUUGGGUUUAAAGGGUACGUAGGCGGAAUGAUAAGUCAGUGGUGAAAUCCUGCAGCUUAACUGUAGAAUUGCCAUUGAUACUGUUAUUCUUGAGUAUAGUUGAGGUAAGCGGAAUGUGUAAUGUAGCGGUGAAAUGCUUAGAUAUUACACAGAACACCAAUUGCGUAGGCAGCUUGCUAAGCUAAUACUGACGCUGAGGCACGAAAGCGUGGGGAGCAAACAGG